AUAACACUUAAAAAUAGGUGCUAAUACCGCAUAAGCGCACAGUCCCGCAUGGGACAGAGUGAAAAACAUUAGUGGUGUAAGAUGGACCCGCGUCUGAUUAGCUUGUUGGCGGGGUAACGGCCCACCAAGGCGACGAUCAGUAGCCGGCCUGAGAGGGUGGACGGCCACAUUGGGACUGAGACACGGCCCAAACUCCUACGGGAGGCAGCAGUGGGGGAUAUUGGACAAUGGGGGAAACCCUGAUCCAGCGACGCCGCGUGAGUGAAGAAGUAUUUCGGUAUGUAAAGCUCUAUCAGCAGGGAAGAAAGAAAUGACGGUACCUGAGUAAGAAGGCCCGGCUAACUACGUGCCAGCAGCCGCGGUAAUACGUAGGGGGCAAGCGUUAUCCGGAAUUACUGGGUGUAAAGGGAGCGUAGACGGUAAUGCAAGUCUGGAGUGAAAGGCGGGGGCCCAACCCCCGGACUGCUCUGGAAACUGUGUAACUGGAGUGCAGGAGAGGCAGGCGGAAUUCCUAGUGUAGCGGUGAAAUGCGUAGAUAUUAGGAGGAACACCAGUGGCGAAGGCGGCCUGCUGGACUGUAACUGACGUUGAGGCUCGAAAGCGUGGGGAGCAAACAGGAUUAGAUACCCUGGUAGUCCACGCCGUAAACGAUGAUUACUAGGUGUAGGUGGGUAUGGACCCAUCGGUG
rnacentral:rRNA from 1 species